UUCCGUUUGGGGUAACCUGCGGAGGGAUCAUUACCGAGUUAUUCAACUCAUCAACCCUGUGAACAUACCUAAACGUUGCUUCGGCGGGAACAGACGGCCCCGUGAAACGGGCCGCCCCCGCCAGAGGACCCCUAACUCUGUUUCUAUAAUGUUUCUUCUGAGUAAAACAAGCAAAUAAAUUAAAACUUUCAACAACGGAUCUCUUGGCUCUGGCAUCGAUGAAGAACGCAGCGAAAUGCGAUAAGUAAUGUGAAUUGCAGAAUUCAGUGAAUCAUCGAAUCUUUGAACGCACAUUGCGCCCGCCAGUAUUCUGGCGGGCAUGCCUGUUCGAGCGUCAUUACAACCCUCAGGCCCCCGGGCCUGGCGUUGGGGAUCGGCGGAGCCCCCCGUGGGCACACGCCGUCCCCCAAAUACAGUGGCGGUCCCGCCGCAGCUUCCAUCGCGUAGUAGCUAACACCUCGCGACUGGAGAGCGGCGCGGCCACGCCGUAAAACACCCAACUCUUCUGAAGUGACCUCGAAUCAGGUAGAAUCCCAGGUCCA
rnacentral:rRNA from 1 species